AAAAUUCCUAUAAGAAUUUGGGACAGAAUUCCUAUAGGAAAUUUUCCUAUAGGAAUUUUUCCUAUAGGAAUUUUUCCUAUAGGAAUUCCUAUAGGAAAAAUUCCUAUAGGAAUUUUGUCCCAAAUUCUUAUAGGAAUUUUUCCU